GAUGAACGCUGGCGGCGUGCCUAAUACAUGCAAGUCGAGCGAACAGACGAGGAGCUUGCUCCUCUGACGUUAGCGGCGGACGGGUGAGUAACACGUGGAUAACCUACCUAUAAGACUGGGAUAACUUCGGGAAACCGGAGCUAAUACCGGAUAAUAUAUUGAACCGCAUGGUUCAAUAGUGAAAGACGGUUUUGCUGUCACUUAUAGAUGGAUCCGCGCCGCAUUAGCUAGUUGGUAAGGUAACGGCUUACCAAGGCAACGAUGGGUAGCCGGCCUGAGAGGGUGACCGGCGACGUUGGGACUGAGAUACGGACAAGACUCCUAGGGGAGGCAGCAGUCGGGAAUAUUGCACAAUGGGCGGAAGCCUGAUGCAGAAACGCCGCGUGCGUGAUGACGGCCUUCGGGUUGUAAACCGCUUUCGCCGGUGACGAAGCGUGAGUGACGGUAAUGGGUAAAGAAGCACCGGCUAACUACGUG
rnacentral:rRNA from 1 species